CUCCGCUUGGUGUAGUUGGUUUAUCACGUUCGACUGUAAUAUCUGUUGUAAUCGAAAGGGUAAGUUCGUCAUCUAACGACAUCAACUAGAAUUUAACACUAACAAUUCAAUAGUCCCUAGUUCGAUUCUGGGAGCGGAGA